CACGUAGGCGGUCAGGUCAGUCUGGUGUGAAAACGCUACCGCUCAACGGAGCGACUGCAUUGGAUACUGCCUAACUCGAGUGCGGGAGAGGUGAACGGAAUACCUGGUGUAGCGGUGGAAUGCUUAGAUAUCAGGUAGAACACCGGUGGCGAAGGCGGUUCACUGGCCCGUUACUGACGCUGAGGUGCGAAAGCGUGGGGAGCGAACG
rnacentral:rRNA from 1 species